UACGGGGGGAGCAAGCGUUGUUCGGAUUUACUGGGCGUAAAGGGCGCGUAGGCGGCCACCGCAAGUCAGUUGUGAAAUCUCUGGGCUUAACCCAGAACGGUCGGCUGAUACUGCGAGGCUAGAGUGCAGAAGGGGCAACUGGAAUUCUCGGUGUAGCGGUGAAAUGCGUAGAUAUCGAGAGGAACACCUGCGGCGAAGGCGGCUUCCUGGACCGACACUGACGCUGAGGCGCGAAAGCUAGGGGAGCAAACGGG
rnacentral:rRNA from 1 species